UUCAUUGCUGCUCUCAAAAAGCUCAUCAAAUCACAAGUUUCGUGACGGCAUCAGUGGCUUCAGUUUUAUUAUUGAUGGAAAAUUGGUGAACAUCUCAUCGAGCCGCGCUCUCGGUGGAGCUGAGUUCUAAAAUUAAAUUAUGGCUUCUUGGGGGUUCUUCUUCGACGAUCUUCUUCGACCCGAUAACGGAGCAAGAAAUGGGGCAAUUGUACACAAUAUCCCCUGAUCAGCUGUGGGAAACAAUGUUGCGUUGCGCCGAUGUGGACGGUAAAGAUCUGGUUGCUGUUGAUGUGUACAAAGUUCCUCUAGAGAAAAGACAGAAGUCACCAGUAGAGAAGAGCGUUUUCAGCGUUAUCUUCGAUGCUUUUCAUAUGUUUGUAACCAUACGCAUUGGGCGAGCUUAUUGGUCUUUUGAGAGAUAUGCCGAGGGUAUUUUGGUACAAAGGAGCCGUCAGGCGGAUGCAGUUAUUAAGAAAUCAAUGAAAAAAGACCGUGUGAAAGGUUGCUCACUGCUGCAGACUAGACGCUCAGAGAGUCUUGGCUUGAGCAACGAGCUGGACACCGUAGAAGACCUCAUCUCAGUCCUGAAAAACGAGUUCAAUGCGAUAAUUGGAAGCCAAUUUCACGUCUUGUUCAACAACUGCCAGCAUUUCGUA